rnacentral:rRNA from 1 species
GGCGGCUGCGAUGGCCAGGCGGACACACCCGAUCCCAUUCCGAACUCGGAAGUUAAGCGCCCUGGCGGCGAAAAUACCCUCACGGGGAAGAUAGCUGCAGCCGCUU